CCUACGGGAGGCAGCAGUGGGGAAUAUUGCACAAUGGGGGAAACCCUGAUGCAGCGACGCCGCGUGAGUGAAGAAGUAUUUCGGUACGUAAAGCUCUAUCAGCAGGGAAGAAACUGACGGUACCUGACUAAGAAGCCCCGGCUAACUACGUGCCAGCAGCCGCGGUAAUACGUAGGGGGCAAGCGUUAUCCGGAUUUACUGGGUGUAAAGGGAGCGUAGACGGCAGCGCAAGUCGGGAGUGAAAUCCCAUGGCUUAACCAUGGAACUGCUUUGGAAACUGUUCAGCUGGAGUGCAGGAGAGGUAAGCGGAAUUCCUAGUGUAGCGGUGAAAUGCGUAGAUAUUAGGAGGAACACCAGUGGCGAAGGCGACUUACCGGCUCCACACUGACGCUGAGGCACGAAAGCGUGGGUAUCGAACAGGAUUAGAUACCCGGGUAGUC
rnacentral:rRNA from 1 species